AAUCGGCACAGUUUUAUCUCGACAUCCUCCACACACAAGUAUACUAGAGAUCGAAAUAGAAAUCGAAUCGAUUGGAUUUCAGCGUUAGAGCAACUUCAAUCGGCCACCCCUUCCGCGUCCAUUAGUUUUUUUUUUACCGUCCACACGCUCAACGCUAACGAUUUAUUUUAUGUCUGCACAUUUGAUAAAACAGAUUAGCAUCCUAGCGUUGAAGAGUUCAUGUCGGCAUCAUGACAGCGGUCGGCAUACAUUGUCAGCCUACAUUAAACCAUCACGCAGUUCAUGUCAACACAUUUGCCAGCGGCCGACACACAUGCCAGCACGCGCAAUUCGAUCACGCCAUGUUGGUCUAUAGUCAUGCGAGCACACUUGCCGGCAUACAAAAAAGAUUAUGUGAUCUUCGUCGCAGAUUACAGUUGGUUGAACUUGAGCAUUUCGGCCUUCAUUUUUUCGAACUAUAGCCUCUUCCUCGGCGACACGGUGUUCAGAUCAACCUUCAUGAUCUCCGCGUGUGUCUUCAUGCUUGCAAGGGUCACUUCUUUAGUCUUGGUCCUCGCAUUGGUGACCUGAUCUCGAGCAUCUUGGCUUGCUUCAUCUCCUCCAACUCAAGCAUCUUGGCUUGCCUCUCCGCGUCCAUCUCGGGCCUCCUUUUUGGAUUUCCAUGAAGGCGUGCAUUUGCCCUUUCUUUUCUUGCCGACGCUUCUCCUCCCUCAAGUCCUUCUUGCUUAUCAUGCCCUCCGCCUUUUCAAGCAAGGCAAUCGAUGUCGCGUUCCGCGUGUCCUCCUUCUUCAAGUUGGUCUUCCCCCGCGGCCGGGCCUUCUCGCCGUCACCAUGGCCCUGCACAACUUCUUUCCCUCCAUGCGCCAAGAGGGCGGCAUAUUACGCCUUGAACUCCCCCCCGUUGAUGAUAGUCCAACACUAGGCGAGAUGAAAGGCUUUGCCUUCGUGCUAAACCUUGAAUGCCUCCAAAGCUUGAAACACCUACAAUUAAAACCAAGCAAGCUUAUGUUAGAAAAUGGAU
rnacentral:lncRNA from 1 species